rnacentral:lncRNA from 10 species
AUUCUGCAGCCACCCAUAUGUCACCACCUACCUGCUUUAUCUCUUUGUCACAUUUUCAUCUCUUUCUACUUCAACUUUCCUUUGAUUCAUCCCCAAAAGCUUUCCCCUAGGCCACUUGGCAGUAUUCCCUCACUAGUCAAAAUCUGGUGGGUCUUUCUUGAGUGAGCUCUCAGAGCUGACCUCCUUUUUUAAGACAUCUAUUUGCAUGCAGGUGGCCAUCGAUGACAUCAAUGGUUUUGCAGUAUUGAGCCACAUUUUGGAUUUUACCUAGAAGAUGUGCAGAAUAUAAAUGUUUUCAUGAGAACAAAAUAUACAGCUGGAUGUUUGUCACAAUUCUAAUGUCCCUGCAAAGAUGAGAUGCAUGAAUCACACAGCAAUCUCAUCAAAAAGGAAUUUCUGGAAGGUAAGAAUAAAACACAAUGGACACUAAAACUUUUCUGCCCACGAAAGUAAGAGGCAUUUGAGAAUUGUUCACUUUAUCUUAUGAGGCAUAGGAGAAGAGAAUCCUGGAAAAAGCAAGAAGCAGGAAGAUAAGAGGCAAAGAAGAAGAGAGCCCCACCCACUGGGGCAAGCUGGGGCCCCAGAUGAUGAAACUGUGGCCCAGAAAGUUUAAGGGAUGUGUCAAAUGUCACACAGCUCACAGAUCCAGGGACAUGGCUUAAAUCCAGAUAUCUUGAUUCUAACUUCAGUUGAGGAAGAGAAAGAGUGCUGCCCCACGCUGCCUGAUUUACAACGUGAAGUGAAAUCUUUGAAAAGAAAAAUAAGACAAUGUCACUCAAGCUCUUAUCUGAGGAUUUCCUGGGUUUGAAGACAGAGCUCAAACUCAUACAAGGGGUCAUCUGAGUCUGCAGAUAGGCUUGCUUUAUGCUGCUCCGUCAGAUCUCUUCUAAAGAUUAGUGCGCAAUUCUGGACAUUACAUUUUAAUGGUAACAUGGAUUCAACUAAAGGCCGCAGCAACUUUGCUUUGUACACUCUGUCUCCUGCCAAGAGAGCCCAGGGAAGGGCACAGUGAAUACCAAAAGAAGAAUAAGACGGAGAGCUAUUCCUCAGUGAAGCAGAGUUUACAACCCUUGUUCAUUUUGGCCAAAGGCCAGCUGACUCUAGUUUACCUAACUUUUAGAGAGUUUCAGAAAAAAAAAUGGAAGUAAUAUCCUGCCUUUGAGUAUGGAGACAAAAUUCUAAUAUCAUAAGAGAGUUAUCAGAGGUUAAGGCAGUUAGAAGGGUUCAUUCAUUCAACAUUCAACACAAACUGUGAACACCUAACAUUUGCCAUGUACAAAGAAGGACGUUCUGCCUUGGACUAACAUCCAUUCCUGUGAGGGAAGAGAAGCAGCAGCCCCCGAGCACUGCCAGCUGCUGCUGCUGCGAUCCCAGUGUCUGAGUUUGUGACUCGCCGGGAGAUUGUCUGUUCCUGCUGCUUCCAAUAUCGUCUUGGCCUUUAUGAAGGCACAUGCACACGACUGUAGCGGCACCCCUGUCUCCGGCCCAUUGUGGACAUGACUGCUCUUCCAGUGUGGCUCCCCUGUGACAGGCACCUGCUCAGCAACCUACAGAAGCUCCCCCAGCUAUCACAGCUCAAAACUAAAUGUAGACGUGUGACUCUAUGAUACCUUCUGGCUAAAGAUUGCAUCUUUAUCAUCAGAGCAAUAUAUAUCAGGUUGAUUUAUUAACACUCUAUCUCCAAUUGGCUCUAUGCAAUGUGCAGACAAAUAAA